rnacentral:rRNA from 1 species
UGACCUCAGAUCAGACAAGAAAA